rnacentral:rRNA from 1 species
GAUGAACGCUGGCGGCGUGCCUAAUACAUGCAAGUCGAGCGAACGGACGAGAAUCUUGCUCCUCUGAUGUUAGCGGCGGACGGGUGAGUAACACGUGGAUAACCUACCUAUAAGACAGGGAUAAUUUCGGGAAACCGGAGCUACUACCGGAAAAUAUUUUGAACCGCAAGGUUCAAAAGUGAAAGACGGUCUUGCUGUCACUUAUAGAUGAAUCCGCGCUGCAUUAGCUAGUUGGUAAGGUAACGGCUUACCAAGGCAACGAUGCAUAGCCGACCUGAGAGGGUGGUCGACCACACUGGCACUGAGGCACGGCCCAGACUCCUACGGUAGGCAGCAGUAGGGACUCUUACGCGAUGGGCGAGAGCGUGACGGAGCAACGCCGCGUGAAGGAUGAAGGUCUUCGGAUCGGAAAAUUCUGUUAGUAGGGAAGAACAUAUGUGUUAGUAACUGUGAACAUAUUGACGGUACCUAAUCAGAAAGCCACGGCUAACUACGUG